AUCGCUUCUCGGCCUUUUGGCUAAGAUCAAGUGUAGUAUCUGUUCUUAUCAGUUUAAUAUCUGAUAUGUCCUCUAUAUGAGGACAACAUAUUAAGCCGAUUUUUGGCAGCGGGAGUUGAAAAAGGAGCUAGCUCCGUUCAAUCCAAGCAUCGCCCCGGUACUGCAGUGCCGCCGGGAAUGGUGCACGCUUC